UUCUUGCGUCGGGGGUGAAUCCAAUGUCUCAGGACAUCAGAUUUAUCCUCGGCGUGGGUUCGUUCUGAGAUUAUACGGCCUUUUAACUUGAUCUGGAUAAUACCAGCGAAAGGAUCAUGCCCUCCCCUUCCC
rnacentral:ncRNA from 1 species